ACUUCGUGGUUGGGACAUUGCAUGAGAUUCCCAUUAAAUCUCUCCCACACCUCGUAUAGAGGCUCUCUAUUUAAUUAGUAAAAGUUUGUGAUUUUAUCAUGCAAUU
rnacentral:snoRNA from 1 species